AGAGCGAACGCUGGCGGCAUGCUUAACACAUGCAAGUCGCACGGGCAGGGGAAACCCUGUCAGUGGCGGACGGGUGAGUAACGCGUAGGUAUCUAUCCUUGGGUGGGGGACAACGGCUGGAAACGGCUGCUAAUACCGCAUGAUGACCGAGGUCUAAAGGCGCAAGUCGCCUGGGGAGGAGCCUGCGUACGAUUAGCUUGUUGGUGGGGUAAAGGCCUACCAAGGCUACGAUCGUUAGCUGGUCUGAGAGGAUGAUCAGCCACAUUGGGACUGAGACACGGCCCAAACUCCUACGGGAGGCAGCAGUGGGGAAUAUUGGACAAUGGGCGCAAGCCUGAUCCAGCAAUGCCGCGUGUGUGAAGAAGGUCUUCGGAUUGUAAAGCACUUUCGACGGGACGAUGAUGACGGUACCCGUAGAAGACGCCCGGCUAACUUCGCGCCAGCAGCCGC
rnacentral:rRNA from 1 species